CAUAGUCCUGGCUUCAGAAUUUUUUUUGGAAAACAUAAUCAAAGCAGGCAUUAUCAAUCAACUGGAGACAAUAUGUUAGUUGAAGGAAUUAGCUAUCAUUACCCUACACACAAAUUCACCCGUAUCAGAAUUAGAAGACAGGAGUAAACUUCAGAAGUAAGCAUUUGGAGGAGAACUUGACUGUUGUAGGCCACUGGUGGGGACAAGCUGGGCCCAUGGAGAUCACAGAGCAGGCGCCCAAUUAAUGUAUGUUGAUGAUUCAUUUUUUCAUUCAACAAACAUUUAAUGAGGCCUACAAUGUGCACCUGAUUAGGCACUGCCGAACACAAAGAUGAAUAAGGCACUGUCCUUGCCCUCAAGGAAUUUGGUCUGCUUGAUGAGAGCCAUAGACUCGGACAAUGAUAAUACAACCUGCUAAGUGCUAAAGACACUUAGCAGGUUGUAUUAUAUCCAUCCGAGUAGGAUUUCUUCCAAGAAGCACCACUUCAGGUUGCUGCUGGAUCCGUGGAGUCCUCCCCGCACCACAGCCUGCUGUUGUUUUCGUCACACGGUUAAUGUCCCAAAGAACUAACAGUAACAGCUGUAGUUGACACAGUGCCUAUGGACACUUACAGAUAUCUUCAUGGAAACCCUGAAAAUUAAUCAUUAUAUGAUGAAAUUCAGGUUUCGUGAGGUUUAGUAAUACAGUGGGACAAGCAUUAGUAACAUAGCUCAAAAGCUUUCAUAACGAACAAAACCUAAAGGAAUUCAUGAACACAAAACAAAGGAUACAAAAAGGGAAGCAUACAAUCUGAAGAGAACAAAGUCAAGGAAACACAGCAUUGAAUAAAAAUCACUAAACCGGUUUAGUAAACACACGAAGAGUUAAAAACAUAACUUAUUUCUCUGUAGUAACAUUAAACAUCAGCAGGUUCAACUCCCCAACCAAA